rnacentral:lncRNA from 1 species
GGUAGGCAUUGAGGCAGCCAGCGCAGGGGCUUCUGCUGAGGGGGCAGGCGGAGCUUGAGGAAACCGCAGAUAAGUUUUUUUCUCUUUGAAAGAUAGAGAUUAAUACAACUACUUAAAAAAUAUAGUCAAUAGGUUACUAAGAUAUUGCUUAGCGUUAAGUUUUUAACGUAAUUUUAAUAGCUUAAGAUUUUAAGAGAAAAUAUGAAGACUUAGAAGAGUAGCAUGAGGAAGGAAAAGAUAAAAGGUUUCUAAAACAUGACGGAGGUUGAGAUGAAGCUUCUUCAUGGAGUAAAAAAUGUAUUUAAAAGAAAAUUGAGAGAAAGGACUACAGAGCCCCGAAUUAAUACCAAUAGAAGGGCAAUGCUUUUAGAUUAAAAUGAAGGUGACUUAAACAGCUUAAAGUUUAGUUUAAAAGUUGUAGGUUUCUCUUUUUCAGGCUUAUACUCAUGAAUCUUGUCUGAAGCUUUUGAGGGCAGACUG